rnacentral:snoRNA from 1 species
GAAUGAAGGAAGCAUGGUAAUGUGCACAAAAACUGAACUAGAGUCGACGUGUUUGCUGCCUCUGAUUCCCCAUGAUUUUGGGGCCUGGUUUAGACCCACAUCC